rnacentral:rRNA from 1 species
CAGUAGCCGCGGGAAAACGAAGGGGGCUAGCGUUGUUCGGAAUUACUGGGCGUAAAGCGCACGUAGGCGGAUAUUUAAGUCAGGGGUGAAAUCCCGCAGCUCAACUGCGGAACUGCCUUUGAUACUGGGUAUCUUGAGUAUGGAAGAGGUUAGUGGAAUUGCGAGUGUAGAGGUGAAAUUCGUAGAUAUUCGCAGGAACACCAGUGGCGAAGGCAGCUAACUGGUCCAUAACUGACGCUGAGGUGCGAAAGCGUGGGGAGCAAACAGGAUUAGAUACCCGCGUAGUCCCUGUCUCUUAUAC